rnacentral:rRNA from 1 species
GAUGAACGCUGGCGGCGUGCCUAAUACAUGCAAGUCGAGCGAACGGACGAGAAGCUUGCUUCUCUGAUGUUAGCGGCGGACGGGUGAGUAACACGUGGAUAACCUACCUAUAAGACUGGGAUAACUUCGGGAAACCGGAGCUAAUACCGGAUGAUAUUUUGAACCGCAUGGUUCAAAAGUGAAAGACGGUCUUGCUGUCACUUAUAGAUGGAUCCGCGCUGCAUUAGCUAGUUGGUAAGGUAACGGCUUACCAAGGCAACGAUGCAUAGCCGACCUGAGAGGGUGAUCGGCCACACUGGAACUGAGACACGGUCCAGACUCCUACGGGAGGCAGCAGUAGGGAAUCUUCCGCAAUGGGCGAAAGCCUGACGGAGCAACGCCGCGUGAGUGAUGAAGGUCUUCGGAUCGUAAAACUCUUUUAUUAGGAAAGAACAUAUGUGUACGUAACUGUGCACAUCUUGACGGUACCUAAUCAGAAAGCCACGGCUAACUACGUG